rnacentral:rRNA from 1 species
UACGGAGGGGGCUAGCGUUAUUCGGAAUUACUGGGCGUAAAGAGCACGUAGGCGGAUUGAUAAGUCAGAGGUGAAAUCCCAGGGCUCAACCUUGGAACUGCCUUUGAUACUGUUAGUCCUGAGGUCGUGAGAGGCGAGUGGAAUUCCGAGUGUAGAGGUGAAAUUCGUAGAUAUUCGGAGGAACACCAGUGGCGAAGGCGGCUCACUGGCACGAUACUGACGCUGAGGUGCGAAAGCGUGGGGAGCAAACAGG